UAGUGGCGAACGGGUGAGUAACACGUGGGCAAUCUGCCCUUCACUCUGGGACAAGCCCUGGAAACGGGGUCUAAUACCGGAUAACACUCCUCAGAGCAUUCUGGGGGGUUAAAAGCUCCGGCGGUGAAGGAUGAGCCCGCGGCCUAUCAGCUUGUUGGUGGGGUAAUGGCCUACCAAGGCGACGACGGGUAGCCGGCCUGAGAGGGCGACCGGCCACACUGGGACUGAGACACGGCCCAGACUCCUACGGGAGGCAGCAGUGGGGAAUAUUGCACAAUGGGCGAAAGCCUGAUGCAGCGACGCCGCGUGAGGGAUGACGGCCUUCGGGUUGUAAACCUCUUUCAGCAGGGAAGAAGCGAAAGUGACGGUACCUGCAGAAGAAGCGCCGGCUAACUACGUGCCAGCAGCCGCGGUAAUACGUAGGGCGCAAGCGUUGUCCGGAAUUAUUGGGCGUAAAGAGCUCGUAGGCGGCUUGUCACGUCGGAUGUGAAAGCCCGGGGCUUAA
rnacentral:rRNA from 1 species